AUUGAUUAUGACGUACUUGUACUGAUUGAGAUUUUAACACGAAGUGAGUGGCGAACGGGUGAGUAACACGUGGGUAACCUGCCCAGAAGUAGGGGAUAACACCUGGAAACAGAUGCUAAUACCGUAUAACAGAGAAAACCGCAUGGUUUUCUUUUAAAAGAUGGCUCUGCUAUCACUUCUGGAUGGACCCGCGGCGUAUUAGCUAGUUGGUGAGGUAAAGGCUCACCAAGGCAGUGAUACGUAGCCGACCUGAGAGGGUAAUCGGCCACAUUGGGACUGAGACACGGCCCAGACUCCUACGGGAGGCAGCAGUAGGGAAUCUUCCACAAUGGACGCAAGUCUGAUGGAGCAACGCCGCGUGAGUGAAGAAGGGUUUCGGCUCGUAAAGCUCUGUUGUUAAAGAAGAACGUGGGUAAGAGUAACUGUUUACCCAGUGACGGUAUUUAACCAGAAAGCCACGGCUAACUACGUGCCAGCAGCCGCGGUAAUACGUAGGUGGCAAGCGU
rnacentral:rRNA from 1 species